rnacentral:lncRNA from 1 species
UUACAGAUAGAGAUUAACUGUAAACAGCAAUAAUGUUCAAAAAAGUAAGAUUUACAAAUAAGUCAACAUGACUGAAAUGGUCAGUUGACCCCUUUAGGAGUUAUUGCCCUUUAUAGUCAAUUUUUAACCAUUUUUCGUAAAUCUUAGUAAUCUAUUACAAAAAUCUUCUCCUCUGAAACUACUGGGCCAAAUUAAUCCAAACUUGGCCACAAUCAUCUUUGGGGUAUCUAGUUUAAGAAAUGUGUGGCGUCACCCGGCCAACCAACCAAGAUGGCUGCCAUGGCUAAAAAUAGAACAUAGGGGGUGAAAUGUAGAUUUUGACUUAUAUCUCUGAAACCAAAGCAUUUAGAACAAAUCUGACAUGG